rnacentral:rRNA from 1 species
UACGUAGGGGGCUAGCGUUGUCCGGAAUCAUUGGGCGUAAAGCGCGUGUAGGCGGUCCGGUAAGUCCGCUGUGAAAGUCGAGGGCUAAACCCUCGAAUGCCGGUGGAUACUGUCGGGCUUGAGUACGGGAGAGGCGAGUGGAAUUCCUGGUGUAGCGGUGAAAUGCGCAGAUAUCAGGAGGAACACCGAUUGCGAAGGCAGCUCGCUGGAACGUUACUGACGCUGAGACGCGAAAGCGUGGGGAGCAAACAGG